UGAUAGCUGUGAAACGUGAGGUUGCUGGUUAUCAGUAAUGAUGAUCAGGUUUUCCGUGGAGCGAAUGUCAAGUUAGGAAACUGACGACAA
rnacentral:ncRNA from 1 species